rnacentral:rRNA from 1 species
GAGAGUGGGUAGUCCGCACGAGCGCACCUCAUCUUUAUUGCCAUCAGUUCGGCUGGGCACUCUAGAGAAACUGCCUGGGAUGACCAGGAGGAAGGCGGGGAUGACGUCAAGUCCUCAUGGCCCUUAUGGGCUGGGCUAGACACGUGCUACAAUGGCGGUAACAGAGGGAUGCAAUACGGCAACGUGGAGCAAAUCCCCAAAAACCGUCUCAGUUCGGAUUGUUCUCUGCAACUCGAGAGCAUGAAGUUGGAAUCGCUAGUAAUCGUGAAUCAGAAUGUCACGGUGAAUACGUUCCCGGGCCUUGUACACACCGCCCGUCACACCAUGGGAGUAGGUUGCAAAAGAAGUAGCUAGGCUAACCUUCGGGAGGCCGGUUACCACUUUGUGAUUUAUGACUGGGGUGAAGUCGUAACAAGGUAGCCCUAGGGGAACCUGGGGCUGGAUCACCUCCUU